rnacentral:lncRNA from 1 species
CACACGGAAAUGCCAUCCACGACAUUCACGCUUAUCUUGACAAUUUUAUGAGUAGCCAUUAAAGUUAUCUAUGAACAACAUAUGUCUCCAAGUAGUCCAUAUCCACGGACGCGGCUAUUCGAAUAGAUCAUAACCCUGCAGGGGUGUACUUCCUCACACACGCUCUCGCCACUUAUCGCCAUGUGCACGUCAUGCACCUCGGCAACCUUCAAGCGGAAGCCCAGCGAGGGAGUCGGCCACGACCGUUAACCACGCUAAUACUU